AACGAACGCUGGCGGCAUGCCUAACACAUGCAAGUCGAACGGAAAAGGCGUGCUUGUUUGGGGUGCUCGAGGGGCAAAGGGGUGAGUUACACAGGAGUAAGCUGCCCUGUACGGGGGGAUGACUUCAAACAGCUGGGACUAAUACCGACGACGAGCUCGUGCUGCAGGGUGGGGGUUGGAAAGCUUGGGCUGUUGUGGGUGGACGCGGGGCUUAUCAGCUUGUUGGGGGGGUAGUGGCCUAAGAAGCCUUUGACAGCUAGCCGGCCUGAGAGGGUGACCGGGCACAUUGGGACUGCGAUACGGACCAGACUCGUACGGUAGGCAGCAGUGGGAAAUAUUGUACAAUGAGGGGACGCCUGAUGCAGAAACGCCGCGUGCGGGAUGACGGCCAACGUGUUGUAAACCGCAUUCGCUUGUGACGAAGCGUGUGUGACGGUAAUGGGUAAAGAAGCACCGGCUAACUUCGUG
rnacentral:rRNA from 1 species